UACGUAGGGGGCUAGCGUUGUCCGGAUUUAUUGGGCGUAAAGAGCGUGUAGGCGGCCAGGUAGGUCUGCUGUGAAAACUCGAGGCUUAACCUCGAGAUGUCAUCGGAAACCAUUUGGCUAGAGUCCGGAAGAGGAAAGUGGAAUUCCUGGUGUAGCGGUGAAAUGCGCAGAUAUCAGGAAGAACACCAAUGGCGAAAGCAGCUUUCUGGGACGGUACUGACGCUGGAGACGCGAAAGCGUGGGGAGCGAACAGG
rnacentral:rRNA from 1 species